rnacentral:snRNA from 1 species
AAACCUAAGUGUCACUUUCGCAAAAAUAUAGCCAGGGUUGAUUCGGAUGAUCUGGCUGGCUAGGUGGGUGUCCCCUUCCUCCCUCACCACUCCAUGUGCAUCCCUCCCGAAACUGUACCUCGGUUGAAGAGGAAGACCUUCCAGGAAUAGAGGAGGACCGGUCUUCGGUAUAGGAGUAGCUGCGCUCCCCUGCUAGAACCUCCAAACAAGCUCUCAAGAAAGUGUAGACCAAUUACCCCGAUGAAUAUUUUCAAUAAAAUACAUUAUUAGCCAGGCAUGGUGGCGCACGCCUUU